rnacentral:rRNA from 1 species
CAAACGACUCUCGGCAACGGAUAUCUCGGCUCUCGGAUCGAUGAAGAACGUAGCGAAAUGCGAUACUUGGUGUGAAUUGCAGAAUCCCGUGAACCAUCGAGUUUUKGAACGCAAGUUGCGCCCGAAGCCAUUAGGCUGAGGGMACGUCUGCCUGGGCGUCACAC